rnacentral:rRNA from 1 species
GACGAACGCUGGCGGCGUGCUUAACACAUGCAAGUCGAACGAUGAAGCCCAGCUUGCUGGGUGGAUUAGUGGCGAACGGGUGAGCAACACGUGAGUAACCUGCCCUUGACUCUGGGAUAAGCGUUGGAAACGACGUCUAAUACCGGAUACGAGCUUCCACCGCAUGGUGAGUUGCUGGAAAGAAUUUUGGUCAAGGACGGACUCGCGGCCUAUCAGCUUGUUGGUGAGGUAACGGCUCACCAAGGCGACGACGGGUAGCCGGCCUGAGAGGGUGACCGGCCACACUGGGACUGAGACACGGCCCAGACUCCUACGGGAGGCAGCAGUGGGGAAUAUUGCACAAUGGGCGAAAGCCUGAUGCAGCAACGCCGCGUGAGGGACGACGGCCUUCGGGCUGUAAACCUCUUUUAGCAGGGAAGAAGCGAAAGUGACGGUACCUGCAGAAAAAGCACCGGCUAACUACGUGCCAGCAGCCGCGGUAAUACGUAGGGUGCAAGCGUUGUCCGGAAUUAUUGGGCGUAAAGAGCUCGUAGGCGGUUUGUCGCGUCUGCUGUGAAAUCCCGAGGCUCAACCUCGGGUCUGCAGUGGGUACGGGCAGACUAGAGUGCGGUAGGGGAGAUUGGAAUUCCUGGUGUAGCGGUGGAAUGCGCAGAUAUCAGGAGGAACACCGAUGGCGAAGGCAGAUCUCUGGGCCGCUACUGACGCCGAGGAGCGAAAGGGUGGGGAGCAAACAGGCUUAGAUACCCUGGUAGUCCACCCCGUAAACGUUGGGCGCUAGAUGUGGGGACCAUUCCACGGUUUCCGUGUCGUAGCUAACGCAUUAAGCGCCCCGCCUGGGGAGUACGGCCGCAAGGCUAAAACUCAAAGGAAUUGACGGGGGCCCGCGCAAGCGGCGGAGCAUGCGGAUUAAUUCGAUGCAACGCGAAGAACCUUACCAAGGCUUGACAUAUACGAGAACGGGCCAGAAAUGGUCAACUCUUUGGACACUCGUAAACAGGUGGUGCAUGGUUGUCGUCAGCUCGUGUCGUGAGAUGUUGGGUUAAGACCCGCAACGAGCGCAACCCUCGUUCUAUGUUGCCAGCACGUAAUGGUGGGAACUCAUGGGAUACUGCCGGGGUCAACUCGGAGGAAGGUGGGGACGACGUCAAAUCAUCAUGCCCCUUAUGUCUUGGGCUUCACGCAUGCUACAAUGGCCAGUACAAAGGGCUGCAAUACCGUAAGGUGGAGCGAAUCCCAAAAAGCUGGUCCCAGUUCGGAUUGAGGUCUGCAACUCGACCUCAUGAAGUCGGAGUCGCUAGUAAUCGCAGAUCAGCAACGCUGCGGUGAAUACGUUCCCGGGCCU